rnacentral:rRNA from 1 species
CCUANGGGAGGCUGCAGUAACGAAUAUUCCGCAAUGCGCGCAAGCGUGACGGAGCGACGCCGCGUGCAGGAUGAAGCGGCUUUGCCGUGUAAACUGCUGUCAGGGGCUACUAACACUGAAGAGCCCCAGAGGAAGGGCCGGCUAAUCCUGUGCCAGCAGCCGCGGUAAUACAGGAGGCCCGAGCGUUAAUCGGAAUCACUGGGCUUAAAGGGUGCGUAGGCGGGUCCGUAAGAGCGUCGUGAAAUCCCCCGGCUCAACCGGGGAACUGCGGCGCAGACUGCGGAUCUUGAGGAAGCUAGGGGUUGCUGGAACGCUCGGUGGAGCGGUGAAAUGCGUUGAGAUCGAGCGGAACGCCGAAGGUGAAGACAGGCAACUGGGGCUUUCCUGACGCUGAGGCACGAAAGCGUGGGGAUCAAACAGGAUUAGAUACCCCGNUANUC